GAACAGCGGAGGGAUCAUUA
rnacentral:rRNA from 2 species